GCCCAUGCCAACACUCAAGACUGGGUCACCUUAAGCUCCCACAUUCAUGUGAACUCUCUGAUGGUCUUUUCAGUAUCCUGCCUGCAGUGACCUUGCUGGAAUCCAGAAGGGGUGCUGCGCUGCAGGCCAGAGGCAGACCUGGGAGCCAGACUGCCAGUUUUGCUCUUGUCACCCAGGCUGGAGUACAAUGGCACGAUCUCGGCUCACUGCAACUUCCUUCUCCCAGGUUCAAGCAAUUCUCCUGCCUCAACCUCCCGAGUAGCUGGGAUUACAGGUGAAGUUUCACCAUGUUGGGCGGACUGGUCUCGAACUCCUGACCUCAGGCAAUCCACCCGCCUCCGCUUCCCAAAGUGCUGAGAUUAUAGGCGUCAACCACCGUGCCUGGCCCCUUCCUUUUUAAUUGUCACAGGGGCAGAACAUUCUAUCAUCUCUCCAGGAAAACCACCAUGUUUCUGAAGGCAUUAAGCUCCAAGCUGGCUAACAGUCAAGCCACAGGAAGGAGAAGGCAGAGCAUGAAACAUAAGCUGUGUGACUGGUACCUGAGUAAGAGCAAGCUAAUUAUAAAAUGGACCUAGUGUUAGGUUCCACUUUUAUGGGUCACUUGCUGCACUUCCAUAUUUGAGGGUCUAGGAAAGGUUGUGUUGUCACCCGAGUGGACUUUGCCUCUCAUGCCAGUAGCUAAGAAUUCCCUCUCCUUGCCCAUGUGGUUUCUCUGAUUACAUGAUUACUCAGGCUGACUGGGAUUUCUUUAUUCUAAAUCAGCCCUCUUUAUCAAAGGACCCAGUGAUGAUCUCUGGACAUUCAUUCUUUUAUGGUACUGAGGCUGAUAGCAGUGAGGUCACGUUCCAACCCAGCACAGUUUGAAAGGGACAAGAGGCCUACUGUACAUACUGUACCUCCUCUUAAAGCUGGGUGUCACCUUGUUUUAUCACCUCUCAAGCACUGAAACUUCAAAGCACACUGUAAAAGCUCAGAAACAGCUCUGUGAAUCACAGAAUAUACAUAUAAACACGUUUAAACUACCUUUGGGAUUAAAUAAAUGUAGCCUGCAUUUCCAGUUGAUACACAGUGACCCAGACCGAUAGAACUCAUGAAUUAAAAACAAAUGUUAAUCCAUUUCGGCUUCAUUUCUAUCCCCGAGAUUUCCUAAUGGUUUUGUUUCCCAAUCCAUUUGAACAAAACAAGAUAGGUCAGCUUUCAUUGUAGUCAGAAUAUUUUGCAGGAGCUGAUGAAAAAAUUAUCAUCAUGAGGCAGAUAAGAGCACACAGAUGAUGUCAAAACAAGGUCAAGCGAACUUGAAGUUAAGCAAACAGCUCUCAGUGGGCUGUUUUGGACAUCCCUUCUCUUUACUUGUAAGAAAUGUAACUUUUAAUUUCUUAAGCAUGCUCUUACUGCAAAUGCUCAGAGAUGAAAAUCUCACCCCCUUCGCUUAUGUUCAUGAGCUUUUAUCAGUUGGAGCAUCCCAGGUGGACCGGGAGAAAAUGCUGAUCAUUGCUACAAUAAAGGAAACUUUAAAAAAUUUUAUUGAUACAUAAUUUGUACAUGUUUAUGGGGUACAUGUGUAUUUUGAGGUAUGUGUACAAUGCAUAAUGAUCAAAUCAGGGUAAUCAGGAUAGCUAUCACCUCAAACAUUUAUGAUUUAUUUGUACUGGGAACAUUCCAAGUCUUCUAGUUAUUUUGAAAUAUGCAAUAUAUUGUUGUUAACUAUAGUCACUCUAUUGUACUAUAGACUGCUAGAACUUAU
rnacentral:lncRNA from 1 species